rnacentral:rRNA from 1 species
CCUACGGGUGGCAGCAGUAGGGAAUUUUCGUCAAUGGGCGCAAGCCUGAACGAGCAAUGCCGCGUGAACGAGGAAGGUCUUCGGAUCGUAAAGUUCUGUUGAAGGGGAAAAAGAGCGGAGAGAGGAAAUGCUUUCUGAUUGAUAUUACCCUUCGAGGAAGUCACGGCUAACUACGUGCCAGCAGCCGUGGUAAUACGUAGGUGGCGGGCGUUAUCCGGAAUGAGUGGGCGUAAAGGGUGCGUAGGCGGCCUGGUAAGUCUGGAGUGAAAGGGACCGGCUCAACCGGUACAGGGUCUGGAAACUUGCGGGCUAGGGGGGAGGAGAGGGAGGUGGAACUCCAUGUGUAGCGGUAAAAUGCGU